rnacentral:rRNA from 1 species
GGCUGCAGUGGGGAAUAUUGGACAAUGGGCGGAAGCCUGAUCCAGCAACGCCGCGUGAGGGAUGACUGCCUUCGGGUUGUAAACCUCUUUCAUCAUUGACGAAGCUCAGCGUUUAGUUGGGUGACGGUAGGUGGAGAAGAAGCACCGGCCAACUACGUGCCAGCAGCCGCGGUAAUACGUAGGGUGCGAGCGUUGUCCGGAAUUAUUGGGCGUAAAGGGCUCGUAGGCGGUUUAUCGCGUCGGGAGUGAAAACACUGGGCUUAACCGAGUGCUUGCUUUCGAUACGGGCAGACUAGAGGUAUGCAGGGGAGAACGGAAUUCCUGGUGUAGCGGUGAAAUGCGCAGAUAUCAGGAGGAACACCGGUGGCGAAGGCGGUUCUCUGGGCAUUACCUGACGCUGAGGAGCGAAAGUGUGGGGAGCGAACAGGAUUAGAUACCCUGGUAGUCCACACCGUAAACGUUGGGCGCUAGGUGUGGGGUCUAUUCCAUGGACUCCGUGCCGCAGCUAACGCAUUAAGCGCCCCGCCUGGGGAGUACGGCCGCAAGGCUAAACUCAAAGGAAUUGACGGGGGCCCGCACAAGCGGCGGAGCAUGCGGAUUAAUUCGAUGCAACGCGAAGAACCUUACCUGGGUUUGACAUAUACCGGAAAGCCUUAGAGAUAACGCCCCUUUUGUCGGUAUACAGGUGGUGCAUGGCUGUCGUCAGCUCGUG